UCCGCUUCCUUGACGGCAUGUGGUCUUUAUCGUGUGUAUUGAAUAAGAAAAUUUGAUUUCUGAGAGAAAUAUUAAUGCAGGAGAUAUAUCGUUAUUAGAGGGAAAACUUUGAUUGUGUAGGUCUACAAACGAUCCCAGGCGUAAAGGAGACAAAGAACAAGAACAUAGGAGAUACUGCUCCACCAUGGCGCUCUCUCAGGUUGAAAGCUACGUGGGUAUGUCAGACAUAUCGUCUCCGGACGAGUUCGGUCGCGAGUCGGCCUCCAAACGCUCGCGCAGCGCCUCACCCGAGGACGACGCGCGUGGCCGGUCGUCACACAGGUCCUCCAAGAAGAAGAAGAAGCACCACCACCGCUCCAAGAGUCACAAACAUAAACACUCCAGCAGCAAACACAAGAAACACAAGCGGGACCGGCACAGACGUGACCGGGAUCGGGACCGCUCGCGGUCCUCGGCGUCCCCGCGGCACAGCGACGGCGAGCGGGCCGGCUCGCCCGCGCCGGUCCCCGCGCCGGUCCCCGCGCCGGUCCCCGCCCCGGUCCCCGCGCCUGUGCCGGCACCGGCCGUGUCGAACGGCGCGCCGCAGCCGGUGCCGCCUCCGGCGCCGGUCAUCCGUCUGGUGGACGUGGAGGACUCGUCAGACGAGGAGGCGCGCCGGCGCGGACCCUCCAUGCCGCUCAGCAAUGAGGACACCAUGGACGCCACCGCGCCGCUCGAGGACACACUCGACCUUGACGACCUCAUGCACCAGAAGGCGCUGCUGCAGGCCCGGCUGGACGAGGUGUUCACCGAGGUGCGAGAGGAGCUGGCGCAGCGGCCCGCCGCCCAGAGGCGCGCCGCCGGACAUCAGGAGGUCAUCAACGUCGAGGCCAUGCCGGACGUCAUCGAGUUGAGUGACGACGAGCCGAGCGGUGCGGGCGGCGGCGGCCGGUCGGAGCGGCGCAGGAAGCACAGAUCCAGUGAGAGGGACUCGCACCGGCGAUCGUCCCGUUCGGGCAGAGGGGAGUCCCGGUCACGGCGGGAUGAGUCCAGGUCACACAGAGAUGAGUCCAAGUCACAUCGCGAGGAGUCCAGAUCGCAUCGAGACGAAUCCAGAUCGCACCGCGAAGGCUCUCGGCCGCACCGCGAGGAGUCUCGCUCCAGGAGAGAGGAGCGCCGCCACUCGGAGGGCCGCCGGGACGAGCGGCCAGAGGACCGGGACAGGGACAGGGAGCGGCUGGCCGAACAGCGGCGCCGCGGCCGCGAGCCGGACCGGCGCGGCACCAGUCGCGAGGCCCGCGAGCGCCGCGAGAGCCGCGAGCGUCUGAUGGAGCGGCGGGAGCAGCGGCGACUGGAGGAGGACCGCGACGGCCGCCGGGACCGACGCCGCUCUCGCUCUCGGGACAGGGACCGGCGCCGGCGGCGGGACGACGACGACGACAAGGACAAGUUCAAGGGCAGCCUGUCCGAGGGCCUGCUGGCGCAGAAGGAGGAGGAGAGCGAUGACGAGCUGCUGGAUCUGGAGGUGAACGAAGACGACGACGAGGAGGCGCAGAUCGAGCGCCGCCGCCGCGAGCGGGAGAAGCUGCUGAGGAAGCUGGGCGCCGGCACCGAGGACUCGGCCGCCUCCUGGUCGCACUCGCAGCCGGGCAGCCCGCCGGAGCUGAAGGUGCUCGACAGCCUGAACGCCUCCGCCGCCACCAGUCCCGUGCCCGCCAGCGCGCCUGCCGCCGUUCCGGAGCGGCAGCGGCGGCCCAGCGAACUGGAGCGAGCCGCCGCCAUGGAGGCCGAGCUGCGCGAGGCGGCGCGCAAGAAGAGCCGCGAGGCGGCCCUCAGCGCCGCCACCGACAUAUUCGCCGAGCAUUUCGACAGUCCGGGUGCCGGCGACCAGGCGGUCACUCACUUCACCGACAACCCGCACCUGCGUGACAACUGGGACGACGCAGAGGGCUACUACCGCGUCCGCAUCGGCGAGCUGCUCGACGGACGGUACGCCGUGUACGGCUACACGGGCCAGGGCGUGUUCUCCAACGUGGUCAGAGCCAGAGAUCAGGCGCGCGGCAACCAGGAGGUGGCCGUCAAAAUCAUCCGCAACAACGAGAUCAUGCACAAGACGGGUCUGAAGGAGCUGGAGACGCUGAAGAAGCUCAACGACGCCGACGCCGACGACCGCUACCACUGCCUGCGGCUGUUCAGACACUUUUUCCACAAGUCGCACCUGUGUAUGGUGUUCGAGCCGCUCUCCAUGAACCUGCGGGAGAUUCUGAAGAAGUACGGCAAGCAGAACGGCAAGGAGAUCGGCCUGCACAUGAAGGCAGUGCGCUCGUACGCGCAGCAGAUGUUCCUGGCGCUGCGGCUGCUCCGAAAGUGCAACAUCCUGCACGCCGACAUCAAGCCCGACAACAUUCUGGUGAACGAGAACAAGCUGGUGCUGAAGCUGUGCGACUUCGGAUCGGCGAGCAACGUGGCUGAGAACGAGGUGACGCCCUACCUGGUGUCGCGCUUCUACCGCGGCCCAGAGAUCAUCUUGGGCAUGCGCUACGACUUCGGCGUGGACAUGUGGUCCACGGCCUGCACGCUCUACGAGCUCUACACCGGGCGCAUCAUGUUCGCCGGCAAAACCAACAACCAGAUGCUCAAGUUCUUCAUGGACCUGAAAGGCAAGAUCCCCAACAAGCUGGUGAGGAAGGGUCAGUUCAAGGACCAGCACUUCGAUGGCAACUGCAACUUCCUCUGCCAGGAGGUGGAUAAGGUCACUGAGCGGGAAAAGACGAUCGUGAUGUCGUCGAUUCCUCCGACCCGAGACCUGCUGCAGGAGCUGAUCGGAGUGCAGAACCUCUCCCCCGAACACCUGAAGAAGGUGCUGCAUCGGCAGUGGCCGUCGCCUGCGGUGUAGAGGGGUGCGAAGCGCGUCGCGGGCCGCCAGCUAGCCCGCGCAGCCGCUGCCCGGGAGCGGCGCGGCGCCGUCCCGACUCUGCGCCGGCCGCCGAGCGUCCACCGGUCUAUCUACAGUGUGGCGGCAGCGCAGCCGACGGCGCUCACACGCACAAAGGUGGGGCCCGAGGCCGGGUCAGCGCGCGAGGACCGCCCACUGAGAGAGCCACCGUCACCCUGCGAGGACCCGGGCCGCCCGUCCCUCCGGGUCAGUGGCUGACGAUUGGUCAGGAGGGUCUGGUUGACAGGUCAGGCAGUUGGGUCAGAGGCGUGGUGGACAGGUCAGGUCGUAGGAGUCUGGUUGACAGGUCAGGCAGUUGGAGUGGAGGCACGGUGGACAGGUCAGCAGAGCUGGAAUAGAGUCACUCUGGUCACCGCAGCGGGGCUCAGCUUCGGGUCACUGCCGUGGGACUGGUGCCGGCCUGUGUAGACCGCUCCCGAAUCGUAGCGGCGACAAACGCAAAUCUGCGGUCACAUGCCGUCCGCUUCAGUAAGGCAGAAUGGCAGCAUCGACGCCUCUGCGAUCGUUUUGCGAGGGAAAGCCAUGCAUUCGACUUUUUGGGAGCGUUGUCCACAUUUUUUUCUUCCACCGAAUCUGUUUUCUUCUUUUAACGUCACUAUACAUUUGUAUGGGACAGUCGUCAAGUUUCAGCCUCCUAUCUCUGACUGAACGAAAUCGUGGGUAUCAUUUAUCUACUAGUGAAGACUUAAAUCGUUUGCCGGUAGGCUAGGCAGAUGUGUGAAAUGAUUCGAUUCAGUGGUUACGGUUAGGUUAUUUUUUUUUACAUCUCCCCGAAAAAAGUCAUCUAUUUGCAUCUCUGUUAAGUGCAACGCUGGUGUCCUUCAUUCUGAGUUGAGUCAGUAUUAUCAGGCUAUAUAGCGCAUCAGCCGCUAUACGCUGUUACUACCGCUAUACGGAGGGGCGCUGUUAUUACCGCCACAUGGUCGGAGCUGGGAGCUUAGGUGAGCUGAGACAUUGAAUUUCAGAGCUCGGGUGAACCGAGACAGGUGAGUUCAGUGCUCAGAGGUGCGAGCUCGGGUGAGCUGAUAGUUAACACAGGUGAGUUCAGUGCUCAGAGGAGGUGAGAGUGUCGCGAGCGGUGAGUCGGCCGUUUGUCUGUCUGUGUGCUCCUGUUGCAGGGACGCUGAUGUUGACAACACCGGGACUUCAGCCACCGGCAGCGAAGGGCGGCGGCGCUCCGGGCCAGGGGCGCGGCCGUCGCCCCGGGCCUCGCUCGGUCGCUCCGGGCCGGGGAGGCGGCCGGCGCUCCGGAACUCGUCGCUCCGGGCCGUCGCCGGCAGUGGUCGCUCUUGUGAUUGAUGGUGCCGUCUGGUGUACCUAACCUGUCUUUCGAUGUGCCUAGAGAAUACAGAGACCUGUUCAGAGAA
rnacentral:misc_RNA from 1 species